rnacentral:sRNA from 1 species
AUUAAAAUAAUGCCUCCGGUAAUUCCUAAAAUAAGCCGACGAAAGGUGUCUGCUAUAAAUUAAUUUCAGAUAAACCUCACGUGGCGAUUUUUAAAUACUCCCCGGACAACGGGAUUAAUCUGAUAAAAAAAUGCCGGCGUUAUGCCGGCAUUAUUAACAGGA